rnacentral:rRNA from 1 species
AUUGAACGCUGGCGGCAGGCCUAACACAUGCAAGUCGAGCGGCGCGGCAGCCGGGUGAGUAAUGCCUAGGAAUCUGCAUGGUCGUGGGGGAUAACGUUCGGAAACGGGCGCUAAUACCGCAUACUAUCAGAUGAGCCUAGGUCGGAUGAGCUAGUUGGUGGGGUAAAGGCUUACCAAGGCGACGAUCCGUAACUGGUCUGAGAGGAUGAUCAGUCAAACUGGAACUGAGACACGGUCCAGACUCCUACGUGAGGCAGCAGUGGGGAAUAUUGGACAAUGGGCGAAAGCCUGAUCCAGCCAUGCCGCGUGGAUGAAGAAGGUCUUCGGAUUGUAAAGCACUUUAAGUUGGGAGGCGUUACCAACAGAAUAAGCACCGGCUAACUUCGUGCCAGCAGCCGCGGUAAUAC